rnacentral:rRNA from 1 species
UACGGAGGGUGCAAGCGUUGCUCGGAAUUACUGGGCGUAAAGCGUGCGCAGGCGGUUUUGUAAGUCUGUUGUGAAAUCCCCGGGCUCAACCUGGGAACUGCAUCUGUGACUGCAUCGCUGGAGUGCGGCAGAGGGGGAUGGAAUUCCGCGUGUAGCAGUGAAAUGCGUAGAUAUGCGGAGGAACACCGAUGGCGAAGGCAAUCCCCUGGGCCUGCACUGACGCUCAUGCACGAAAGCGUGGGGAGCAAACAGG